rnacentral:rRNA from 1 species
UACAUAGGGUGCGAGCGUUAAUCGGAAUUACUGGGCGUAAAGCGUGCGCAGGCGGUUUUGUAAGCCAGAUGUGAAAUCCCCGGGCUUAACCUGGGAAUGGCAUUUGGGACUGCAAGGCUGGAGUGUGGCAGAGGAGACUGGAAUUCCCGGUGUAGCAGUGAAAUGCGUAGAUAUCGGGAGGAAUACCGAUGGCGAAGGCAGGUCUCUGGGCUGACACUGACGCUCAUGCACGAAAGCGUGGGGAGCAAACAGG